ensembl:lncRNA
AGGUGGGAUGUUUACGGUGGCGAACGUGACAUUCUGUCAUCGGGAGUGCCAAAUCGCCUCCCUCGCCGCGCAGCCUUCCUCUCCGGCCCGAGCCACGGGAAAUGCAUCGCAAGAAAUCGUUGAAAACUGACUUGCUCUCCCCCGCCCCCUUUAAAUACAGCAGAGGCGUCGCGAGCGUUCCUAGCCCCUCUGUUAAGGCAGGAAUUCGCUUCUGGCCAAGUGCGCUGAGCCAUUCUAAGUCAUGUAGUGUGAAUAUGAGCCUCAGAAUAAGGCGAAUGAAUGAAUGAAUGAAUGAAAGCAAACCAGUGCAGCUAGUGCAUCUCGCCUGCCUGCAUGCAUCAGAGGACUUUGAAACAACAGUCGGUGUACGCUUCACUGUGUGUGUUCAUAAUACUGUGCUGAUGAAAUGCCUUGUGGAUCAUACACCCUGAAACCUGCAAAUCGACUCAAUAUCGCAAUGGUUUGGGUGCUUUGGCUUUUAACGUUAUACGUCAAACGUUUAAACCUGCUAUAUGACAAACAUUUUACUUCUCAUUUCCAAUAAAAUCUUCUAGUUCCAUGCACUAAACGACAGUGCGCUAAGCCACCAACUGAUGUCAAGAUGACAUAAAAAUACUGUCAUUGCCCAUCAUCACCCUUGUUUUUCCUUCUACUCCUGCUUUUCUUACACUCUAGCUAGAUAACAGAUUAAUGUAUUGUCUUAAUGGUGAAGGAAAAGCAAAUCAGGUACUGAUAUUUAUAAACAACUACAGUUUGUAACUUAAGACAUAUGAAAACCUACAUUUUUUUCCCAUGGAAAAUCUUCACUUUAUAGCCCAGGUUUUACUUGAAAUAUCACAAACAGAUGGAGUCUUGUGAUGACAGCAAGUUGUUCAGGCCAGGAGAGGGCCAUGAUACUGGCAUCCAAUUCUACCCCCUGGGUUUAGAAUUAGGUUAGAAAAUUGUAGAUGCAGGUCCGUGAUAGGGACCACGCAGAGGAAUGCUUGGGAGAGCAAGAGAGAGCCAGGGGAAGGCGGGAGGGCUGGCCACCGGAAGUACAGUAAAAGGAAGGAUUGCAAUAGCCAAGACACUCCAGCUGGAAAGGGAAGGUGAAGAGGAGAAGACCCAGGCCGCUGGGGCUGAAGUAACAAGGGGGACUGUUCCCACUGGAGAAGGCGGCAGAGGUUAUCCCAGACAACAGCUUUGCAAGCCCAUGAACUUCAACUUUUGCCUUAGGUCAAAUUUACUACCCUGCUUGGAACUGCAGAUCCUUGAAGCUGGGGAUGGAGUUGGUGCAUCCCCUGGGUGAGACACAAAAGUUUGCCAGUCACCCAGCAAGGUCUCUUCAUUUAACUGAAGGCAUUGCUUGUACCCUUGCAAACUGUCUCAGACCACUCUGGAACAAGUCGGAGCAGCUCUAUAUGGCUGUCAACCUUUUUAGAUGUCUUCACAACACUCCCACUUUGUGCUGUAGAAAUUCCUUGGGGCCCCAAGCAUGUAUCGUUUGCACUGUGUGAUCUUGCUGGCCUGAUCACCUUGACUGGAACUGAGCAACGUAUCUGACUCAAGCUGAGCCAUGGACUCUUUCCUCCAGGAAUCUGACAUUGGAGCAGACAAAUGCCAUGCUGUGCUAGGCAAGGCCCAGGCUGCGUGAAUAUCUGCAGCACUGAUUCUCAACCUUGGCUGCCCAUGGAGUUGCCUGAGACACUUUUAAAAGUCCAUCUCCUACUCAGCAGACUCAUAGAAUGGCGGAUGUCCUAAAUAGCACUCUGGCCUCAGAAUCAGCCCUAAAGGCACUCGGAUCUGGCUGAAAAGCCCAUGAGAGUAUUUCAGGCAUGGAAAGCCAAGACACUCUGGCAAAAAGAUCUCUGUGAGUGAGAUCCCAGUGGAAAGAACAGGUCUUCAAAGAGGGAGGUGCCUUUCUCUGAAGGGAGGAGAGAACCUCCACUUUGACUAUGACCUUAUCUAAACAAGGUAAGAGUCGGAGAACUCAAGGGGCUUCCAUAGCCUUGGAAACUCAUGACUGGUGCAUAGGGAGAUUACUGAUGCCAUAAACAGAAGUGUCAAUUUGUAAAGUCAACAACAGGAGUCACUGUGCACUUACUCCUCAUGUAGGAUAUCUGUCCUUAAUGUGCUGUACACUGAGGCUUAAUGCUAUAACGAGUACUCAAACAGUAUAUUUCACUUUGUGUUUCUAUGGGGGUGCAAACGAUUGAAAUCUUUACUUAAUGUACACUAAACUGAUCUUCUGUAAAAAAAAAAAAAAAGAAAAAAGAAAUUAUCAAUUCCCAACUUGACUCUCACUGGGAUUAAACAUGACAAUAGGUCUGAUCUGAUUUCAUCAUCAUUCAAAAAAAAUCAUCUAUUAUUUUUCACUUUAUGUUUCUGUGUGGGAGCAAACUGUUGAAAUCCUUACUUAAGGUAUACUAAGCUGAUCUUCUGUAUAUUAAGAUAAUCGAAAAUGAAUCUUGAUGUGAAUGGAAGGGGAGAAGGAGUGGGAAAGGGGAUGGUUGUGGGUGGGAGGGACGGUAUGGGGGGGGGAAGCCAUUGUAACCCAUGAGUCGUACUUUGGAAAUUUAUAUUCAUUAAAUAAAAGAUAAAAAAAAAUAAAAAAAAAGUCCA